GCCCGCCUGACCCAAUCGGUAGAGGUGCGCGGUACCGGCCCCUUCGGGGAGAUCCGGCAGUAAUCCGCAGAGUUCCCGGUUCGAGUCCGGGGGCGGGCA
rnacentral:tRNA from 1 species